UACGAAGGGGGCUAGCGUUGUUCGGAAUUACUGGGCGUAAAGCGCACGCAGGCGGUCUUGUAAGUUUGACGUGAAAGCUCCCGGCUUAACUGGGAGAGGUCGUUGAAGACUGCAAGACUUGAGGAAAUGAGAGGGGUGUAGAAUUCCCGGUGUAGCGGUGAAAUGCGCAGAUAUCGGGAAGAACACCCGUGGCGAAGGCGGCUCUCUGGGGACGGUACUGACGCUGAGACGCGAAAGCGUGGGGAGCGAACAGGAUUGAGAUACC
rnacentral:rRNA from 1 species